rnacentral:rRNA from 1 species
GAUGAACGCUGGCGGCGUGCUUAACACAUGCAAGUCGAGCGAAGCACUUUUGCGGAUUUCUUCGGAUUGAAGCAACUGUGACUGAGCGGCGGACGGGUGAGUAACGCGUGGGUAACCUGCCUCAUACAGGGGGAUAACAGUUGGAAACGGCUGCUAAUACCGCAUAAGCGCACAGUACCGCAUGGUACCGUGUGAAAAACUCCGGUGGUAUGAGAUGGACCCGCGUCUGAUUAGCUAGUUGGUGGGGUAACGGCCUACCAAGGCGACGAUCAGUAGCCGACCUGAGAGGGUGACCGGCCACAUUGGGACUGAGACACGGCCCAAACUCCUACGGGAGGCAGCAGUGGGGAAUAUUGCACAAUGGGGGAAACCCUGAUGCAGCGACGCCGCGUGAGCGAUGAAGUAUUUCGGUAUGUAAAGCUCUAUCAGCAGGGAAGAAAAUGACGGUACCUGACUAAGAAGCCCCGGCUAACUACGUGCCAGCAGCCGCGGUAAUACGUAGGGGGCAAGCGUUAUCCGGAUUUACUGGGUGUAAAGGGAGCGUAGACGGCAUGGCAAGCCAGAUGUGAAAGCCCGGGGCUCAACCCCGGGACUGCAUUUGGAACUGUCAGGCUAGAGUGUCGGAGAGGAAAGCGGAAUUCCUAGUGUAGCGGUGAAAUGCGUAGAUAUUAGGAGGAACACCAGUGGCGAAGGCGGCUUUCUGGACGAUGACUGACGUUGAGGCUCGAAAGCGUGNGGAGCANACAGG